UACGUAGGGUCCGAGCGUUGUCCGGAAUUACUGGGCGUAAAGAGCUCGUAGGUGGUUUGUCGCGUUGUUCGUGAAAACUCACAACUUAACUGUGGGCGUGCGGGCGAUACGGGCAGACUGGAGUACUGCAGGGGAGACUGGAAUUCCUGGUGUAGCGGUGGAAUGCGCAGAUAUCAGGAGGAACACCGGUGGCGAAGGCGGGUCUCUGGGCAGUAACUGACGCUGAGGAGCGAAAGCGUGGGGAGCGAACAGG
rnacentral:rRNA from 1 species